CAUCCUCGCCCUGUUGGUGGAUUCUGUCUGCUUUUCUUCGGAACACCGGUGACAGGUGGUGCAUGGUUGUCGUCAGCUCGUGUCGUGAGAUGUUGGGUUAAGUCCCGCAACGAGCGCAACCCCUAUCUUCAGUAGCCAGCGGUAAGGCCGGGCACUCUGGAGAGACUGCCAGGGAUAACCUGGAGGAAGGUGGGGAUGACGUCAAAUCAUCAUGCCCCUUAU
rnacentral:ncRNA from 1 species